UACGAAGGGGGCUAGCGUUGUUCGGAAUUACUGGGCGUAAAGCGCGCGUAGGCGGCUUGUUAAGUCAGGGGUGAAAUCCUGGAGCUCAACUCCAGAACUGCCUUUGAUACUGGCGAGCUCGAGUCCGGGAGAGGUGAGUGGAACUGCGAGUGUAGAGGUGAAAUUCGUAGAUAUUCGGAGGAACACCAGUGGCGAAGGCGGCUCACUGGACUGGUAUUGACGCUGAGGUGCGAAAGCGUGGGGAGCAAACAGG
rnacentral:rRNA from 1 species